CCUUAGACUUGGAAUUAACAGGCUAAAGGACAUGCCCACGCAUGCAGGUUUUAAGGGCUUUGCAUGCCUGGCCUCCGGGAGAUCCUGUCAUUUCCUGUGACCAGCAGCAACGUGGGUGGGACCCAGGAAGCACUGUCUCCUUUAAGUUCUGGGGAUGGGACCCAAGGCCUUGAGCAUGCCAGGUCUGGAGGCUGAGAAGUUCAAGAUCAAUGUGCUGCAGAGUCCGGUGAGGCAGCUCUUGGCUUGAAAGAUGGCACCUUGCUGGCACCUCCUCCAGAGGGAACGAAUGCUACAUCUUCACAUGGCGGAAGGGCAACCCUGCGUGAAGUGGCAGUUCUGUGCCAGUCUGCAGCCCUGGAUGGCUUUGCGUUGCUUAAGGAUAAACAGGUUGGAGUUGCAUAUGGUCAACAUUUUUUGUGGAUCGAACUUGGGUCCUUCCACUUGCGAGGCAGGUGGCAGAACCACCGAGCUAUGGCCAAACUGGUCUUCAAGCCAAGAUAUGAAUUUGCACCCAACCAACUGGACCCCGACCUUCAAAUUUAUUCCUAUGCCAGAAACCCUAGUGCCCUGCUGUUUCCUGAGGAAGUGCAGCCCUGUCAGAGGUCUUGACAUUCCGAGGAGCAUGGUUUCCUGGAGCUGCUUGCUACCGGGGUGAACUGGUCUGGCUGGGAUAUUUCUGGAGGGCCCUUGUUUCUUUUGCGGGGAGCCCCAGUGGUGCUUGGGCAGCUGAGGGAGCCUGGCUGUCCAUCAAAUGUUUCCUGCUUUCCAGCCAGUACUCAGGUUCCCCAUGAGGUCUCCUCCACUGCCUGUGGCUGUGCAUGCCAACAGCUCCCAGUCCCUGGGACACUUGGCCUCCUGCCAGUCCCACCCAAGAUUGCUCCAUCAAUUUUCUGGGAGUGGGCUCAGCAGAUUUAUAGGCAUAAAAUUUGUUUUUGCUUAAUAACAUGUUCGUAGUGAAGCAUUUUUGUGCUUGUGUGCUCUGACAAAGCAAAGUGUUGCAGCAAAAAGGAGGCAAAUUUCUUUGAAAUUAGGAUAUUCAAAGUAACUACUCAACUUGGGCCUUUUGAUAUUGCCUUAAGAAAUCUGUUUUGCCCAUAAAAUCAUGUCUUCGCUUUUGGCACCAUUCUGUUGCCAUUUAUUCCAAUUUUCAAAUAGCAACUGCUUCCACUUUCCUUUCUGUAAUUCAAAAUAGGAAUCUUUAAGGCCCUGGAAAAUCGUUUUUAUAAUAUCCUAAAGUGAAAAUACUCGCAAAUGUGUACUUUUUAGAGCAAGCGUAAAUUUUAAAUUCAGGACUAAAGUAACCUUUUAUGUGUGAUCUUGUCUGUAUUGUAAAUCACAGAGGGGUUUUUUCUCUGUUCUUUGAGAAGGUUGAGACUGCUCUGUAUUUCAGAAGGUUGGAACUGCUGGUGGGGGCUGC
ensembl:lncRNA